UACGUAGGGGGCUAGCGUUGUCCGGAAUCAUUGGGCGUAAAGCGCGUGUAGGCGGCCCGGUAAGUCCGCUGUGAAAGUCCAGGGCUCAACCCUGGGAUGCCGGUGGAUACUGUCGGGCUCGAGUCCGGAAGAGGCGAGUGGAAUCCUGGUGUAGCGGUGAAAUGCGCAGAUAUCAGGAAGAACACCCGUGGCGAAGGCGGCUCUCUGGGACGGUACUGACGCUGAGACGCGAAAGCGUGGGGAGCGAACAGG
rnacentral:rRNA from 1 species